rnacentral:rRNA from 1 species
GACGAACGCUGGCGGCGUGCUUAACACAUGCAAGUCGAACGGAAAGGCCCUGCUUGUGUGGGGUUCUCGAGGGGCGAAGGGGUGAGUAACACGAGUAUAACCUGCCCUUGACUUUGGGAUAACUUCAGGAAACGGGGGCUAAUACCGUAUAGGAGCCCCCGCUGCGGGGGGGGGGGGGGAAAGUUGGGGCGGUUGGGGCUGGACUCGCGGCUUAUGAGCUUGGUGGUGGGGGAGUGGCUUCCCAAGCGUUUGCCGGGUAGCCGGCCUGGGAGGGUGACCGGCCCCCUUGGGCCUGCGGUAGGCCCCAGAGCCCAACGGGGGGCAGCGGUGGGGAAUCUUGCCCAGUGGGCGGAAGCCUGUUGCGGAAACGCCGGGGGCGGAAUGCCGGCUUUCGGGUUGUAACCCGCUUUCGCCUGUGACGAAGCGUGUGUGACGGUAAUGGGUAAAGAAGCACCGGCUAACUACGUG